CUACGGGCCGCUGCAGUGGGGAAUAUUGCACAAUGGGCGCAAGCCUGAUGCAGCCAUGCCGCGUGUAUGAAGAAGGCCUUCGGGUUGUAAAGUACUUUCAGCGGGGAGGAAGGGAGUAAAGUUAAUACCUUUGCUCAUUGACGUUACCCGCAGAAGAAGCACCGGCUAACUCCGUGCCAGCAGCCGCGGUAAUACGGAGGGUGCAAGCGUUAAUCGGAAUUACUGGGCGUAAAGCGCACGCAGGCGGUUUGUUAAGUCAGAUGUGAAAUCCCCGGGCUCAACCUGGGAACUGCAUCUGUAGUGGAUAGCUUAAGUCUCGGAGAGGGGGGUAUCAUGCGAGGUGUCGAGGUGGAAGGCGUGGCGAUCUGGAGGACUGCCGGUGGCGAAGGGGGCCACCUUGACGAAGAAUGACGCUCAGGUGCGAAUGCGUUGGGAGCAAACAGGAUUAGCUACCCCAGUAGUC
rnacentral:rRNA from 1 species